UUUUCUUUCACCGGAGCUUGCUCCACCGAAAGAAAAAGAGUGGCGAACGGGUGAGUAACACGUGGAUAACCUACCCUCAAGCGGGGGAUAACACUUGGAAACAGGUGCUAAUACCGCAUAACAAAGAAAACCGCAUGGUUUUCUUUUGAAAGGCGCUUUUGCGUCACUUGAGGAUGGAUCCGCGGUGCAUUAGCUAGUUGGUGAGGUAACGGCUCACCAAGGCAACGAUGCAUAGCCGACCUGAGAGGGUGAUCGGCCACAUUGGGACUGAGACACGGCCCAAACUCCUACGGGAGGCAGCAGUAGGGAAUCUUCGGCAAUGGACGAAAGUCUGACCGAGCAACGCCGCGUGAGUGAAGAAGGUUUUCGGAUCGUAAAACUCUGUUGUUAGAGAAGAACAAGGAUGAGAGUAGAAUGUUCAUCCCUUGACGGUAUCUAACCAGAAAGCCACGGCUAACUACGUGCCAGCAGCCGCGGUAAU
rnacentral:rRNA from 1 species